rnacentral:lncRNA from 1 species
UGACAAGGGGCUCGACACUCGCAGGAUGCGCCACCAAUCGAGCAGCCCGAUGCUUACUCUCAGUCUCUGGAGAUAGCAACGAUACUCUCUCCAUUUUGUGCCUGCAACAUUUAUAAACAUAGUUAGACGUACAAAUUAAAGUUAAGCAUAGUUAAACCGAGAGUACAUAUUAAAACAUAGUUGAACAAAGCGAAAAAAUUAACACACAGUUCCACACAUAGUACAAAUUAAAACAUAGGGCACAAAUUAACACUUAGUUUCACGGAGUACAAAAUAAAACUUAGUUCCACAUAGAGUACAAAUUAACACAUAUUUUCACGGAGUACAAAUUAACACAUAGUUCCACAUAUUGUACAAAUUAAAACAUAGGGUACAAAUUAACACAUAGUUUCACACAUGCAUGAUAAGCCUAGUUUCUUCCUCUCCCUCGUCGUCCACGUCUGCCUCUUCCACGGGCAGUAGCUCCACCAGUACCGAAAGUUGGACAAUAAGUGUCCCUGUGGCCAAAAUGGUUGCAUAGAAAACAUUGUCGUGACGGUCCUCCGGCUUCAGAUUCAUCCAUAUCAUUUCGGAUGCGCCUGGACGGGCGUCUGCCUGUGCCUGUCCGCAGUAGCCCGGGGUCAGGGAUGUACCGCCUUUCACCAGGGGUUACCUUGUUGAAAUAGCCCUUUGCACGAAACCCUAGCAUCUCACCCGUCCAUGUGCUAAGCACAGACUCUUUCAGGUAAUAGGGAGACACAAAUGAGAUUGCGUCCAUCCCUAGCUGCCCGCAAGCAGCAAGUACAUGUGAGCAAGGAAGGCGAAGCAACUUUGGUUUGUUGCAGGUGCACUCACACGUUGGCCACGCUUCAUUUCCAAUCUUCACCUCCUGUGUCCUCAAUUCAUUUCCAACGCCGAACUUGUCAGUUGGCAAGCGCACCUCAAAUCUGUGUUCUUGAUUACCGAUGGCGACGACAGUAUGCGACCUAGCUUUUUCCAUCUUCUCAUCCAUGUACUUCAUAAUCUUUUCACAGUACGGUGUAUUUGGGUUGUUCAUGAUAUGCAUUUCAGCUCUCUGGCGUCUUUCUCUGAAAUACUUCACCGUGCCAUGGAAAAUACCCUCGACGAUGGAUGUAAGUGGUAAAGCCCUAUUUCCCCUCAGGACAAAGUUGUAUGUCUCUGCCAGGUUAGUAGUCAUGACGCCGUACCUAGCGCCAUGUGUGUCGUGCAGCAAAGACCACCGCUCCAGAGGCUCGUGCUCUAUCCACUUCUGGAAGUUUUUAAUCUGCCUCCCAACCCUUCUCCUAGUGCCGGGUGGGUCAAACCCUGGCAAGUCACAAAGCCCAACAGGUCUUUCCUCAGAUGGUCUUGUUCCAACUGCUGUCUGUGCAGCCACUGCUGCUACAUGUGCUGCUACUGCCGCGUUUCGUGCCGCUGUCCUCUCCCUAACAUGUUUCUUCGUGAACUCAUCAAGAUAACCACGUAUCCUAGUGUACUUCAUUGUUGGUUCUGUUUGCAGAGUUUCUUGAAUAGAUUCAUAAGUGGCUUGUUCCUGAACUGCGAGAAGAAGUUGGCCCCCAAAUGCCGCAUGCACCAACGAUUCUGCAUGUCCUACCAUGGAGUCUGUUCAUCAGGCUCAGGGUUUGUCAGUGUCCUUAUCGCACUGAGUAUGCCUACAUGUCUGUCAUGAAGGAUGCACACAUUCAGCUUAUCAUGCACAAGUGCUCUCUUGAGCUGCCUGAAAAACCAUAACCAACUUUCAGUGUUCUCACCCUGAAAGCAAAUGCAAGCGGAACGAUUUGAUUGUUGCCGUCUUGACCAAUGGCGGUCAAGAUCUGCCCCCUGUAUUUGCCAGUCAGAAAAGUGCCAUCUACGCAUAACACCGGUCGACAAUGAUGGAAAGCUUGGACGCAUACACCGAAAGUGAAGAACAGUCGUUGCAGCACCCUCACAGUUGGAUACUCUGGGUGCACGAAGUGUUGGAUGUCGACAUAGGUGCCUGGAUUACGGGCUUGCAGUGUAUGGAGGAGGCGGACAACAGAGUCGAAAAACGAACCAAAUCUUUCCUCAAGAGCCCUCUGCUUAGCCCUCCAAGCCUUGCCAUACGAAAUGUUGUACUUAAACCUUACCCUGACCUUAUGCAUGAUGGCCUUCACUUCCAUUGCUUUGCUCUCCACUAUCUCCGUGUAAAGCAACCGAGCAAGAAGCAUCGACGAGAGGUUACGAUGGUCUUGAGGGAUACUGGAAAUGACACAUGUGUGCAACACCAAGUCACUCACAACCCAAUAUGUGUCAUACUUAGGAACAUAGCCAUGCACCCUCCCGGGACAAUCUAUUUGUUCGCACUCCAUUGUCAGAUAUUUUUGUGAAGAGACUGUUGUUUUGAAAACCCUUUGCGUGGACAUUGCCCAAGCAACUAUGACAUCCUGCAGAUGUUUCUUGUCAGGAAAUCUGGCACCCUUCGCAAUGUUGUUCUGAUGAUAUUGCCAUGCAGAGUCAUGUCCAUCGUUCACGGUCAUAGCUGAAGAGAAGUGCUGAUUCCAUGACGCAGGAAUCGGCACCUCCUCUUCGUCCGACUCAUGAGACUCAUCGUCAUAAGAACUACGACCAUCUGUAUCUUCAUCCUCCAUCUCGUUCUACAAGUGACCAUCUUCUUUAUCCGCAUCUGCCUCGCCAGUGUACUCAUCCUCUCCUACUGCCCCGGAGCUCUGGCCUGAUUCAUAACCACCACCUCCAGCAUUCGACACAGAGUUUGCAUUGGACAAGUCAUAACUUGAUUCACCCUCGCCUUCAGCUCGAUUGGUCUCAUGAGCGACAACCUGGAUUAAGGCGACAGGUGUAGUUCCCCUUUUCUCGCAACUUUCUAACCAGCGCACCCACUUUGAUGUCCGGUCUAUCGGCCUCAAAAUCCAAAAAAUACUUGAACUUGACCUGGUCCACAAUGUUUGCACACGGACGGUGUAUGUUUCAGGAUUGACCGCUAAACAUCGUACCAACCAUUCAUGCAGCUGACUAAACGUCCAUGUUUGAGGGGCCGUUAGAUCCAACUCCACAUACUUAAACUGACUCAGAUCAGCUCCGUGCUCGGUUGUUAAGACAGUACCGGAACCGUACGGCAUAUAAAAAAUAUUAAUACGCGUCAAAUACUAAGCAGUACGGCAUAUUAAAAAUAUUAAUACGCGUCAAAUAGUAAGCAGUACGGCAUAUAAAAAAUAUUAAUACGCGUCAAAUACUAAGCAGUACGGCAUAUUAAAAAUAUUAAUACGUGUCAAAUAGUAACCAGUACGGCAUAUAAAAAAUAUUAAUACGCGUCAAAUACUAAGCAGUACGGCAUAUUAAAAAUAUUAAUACGCGUCAAAUACUAACCAGUACGGCAUAUAAAAAAUAUUAAUACGCAUCAAAUACUAACCAGUACGGCAUAUUAAAAAUGUUUAGACGCGUCAAAUACUAAGCAGUACGGCAUAUUAAAAAUAUUAAUACGCGUCAAAUACUAAGCAGUACGGCAUAUUAAAAAUAUUAAUACGCGUCAAAUACUAACCAGUACGGCAUAUAAAAAAUAUUAAUUCGCGUCAAAUACUAACCAGUACGGCAUAUAAAAAAUAUUAUGACGCGUCAAAUACUUAGCACUACAGCAUAUUAAAAAUGUUUAGACGCGUCAAAUACUAAGCAGUACGGCAUAUUAAAAAUAUUAGUACGCGUUAAAUAAUCACAAGUACGGCAUAUUAAAAAUGUUUAGACGCGUCAAAUACUAAGCAGUACGGCGUAUUAAAAUAUUAAUACGCGUCAAAUACUAAGCAGUACAGCAUAUUAAAAAUAUUAAUACGCAUCAAAUACUAAGCAGUACGGCAUCAAAAAAAAAUAUUCUAUCAAACAUAUUACUCCCGGCCAUAAUAUUUAGAUGCAUCAAAUACUAAGCAGUACGACAUUAACAGUUUUCCAAAAUAAUGAGCACUACCAAACGCUAAAACAUACUUCUAUAUAUACGUACACACAUAUCCUCAUAAACAUAUACAUUAUAGGAUAAAUACGUGAGAGAUUAGGAUUUACCCUUGAAGCGUGCGAACCCCAACCUCGAGCAGCCUCACGGUCACCGGAUGAGCACCACCACCACCUCCAAACUCCUCCAAACCACCACCAUUGCCCAAACUUAGGAACACGAAAUUAGCUCAAAAUGUUCAACGAAAAGAGUAGAUCAAGGUGUCAUUGGGUGCUAAAUAGCAAGGGGAUGCAGUUUUGUGGGUUAAGCGGG